AAAGGAGGAACAAAUUAUAAGGAAGCCAGGCCUGAGGGUGAAGAGGAGGAAACAUGAGAGACCAGAGUGGUUUAUCAGGAGGGAAGUAGGAGAUAUAGAAUUCAAGUUCUGAUGGACAGAAUCAGGAAGGACCAUGGGAUAAAAGGUCAAUGAGAUUAGCAGUAAAGAAGAGCUGAGUGGAUCAAAAGAAAGUUAUGGAAAACACAAGGAGGAGGCAAGAUAAACAGAGACCCAGAGAAAAGAGGUGAAAACACUAAGAGUAAUAGAGAGGAGAUUGAAUUAGAUUUCUGAUGGACAUAUGGCCAAAAUAAAUAUCUCAAUAACUAAGGAUUAGCAGAUAAGGAGAAGACCAAGAGCACAGGAAAAAUAACCAACAGACGUCAAAAAGAAAGGAAGUCUGCCUCUUCUACUUCUCUUUUAAAGUUGCUUUGGUUUCCUUUUGUCCUCUUUCUAAGCCUGUUCAAGUCUCAGAUAGAUGAAAAGAGCAGCCAAAGAAACAGAUCUGUUGAAGCAUCAAUUGGAAAGGAUGGGAGGGUUGGAGGAGGAGCACAGCUGGAUGACUACAUUAGAUUGUGGCAUAUGAGGUCUGUUGAAGCAUCAAUAGGAAAGGAUGAAAGGGAGGGAGGCAGGAAGAGGAAAACACAGAAGAGCAGAUGAGGAGCACUCUAUGUUCUGCUUCCAUGUUCUGCUGGAGGACAUCAUGGAGGAAGAGGGAGAGGGUCUAUGAUAGGCAGUUUGCCAUGGCCCUAAAUGGGCCUUUGAAUGUUAAUUCUUCCUGCUUCAUAUCAUACAACUUUACAAUAAAAAUUAAAUGCAAGCAUCA